CCGUAUGUAGCAAGGGAACACCAUGGAUAGGGUUUGUUCAUCUUCCAAGCUUCAUGGUAAGUCCGUUCUAGCCCCGUUUUUCUUGUUAUUUGUAUUUUUCGCAUCCCGAUAACUUGCUUAAGCUAUCUCUACCAUUAAUUCGAGCUAGAAUUUAUGUCUGAAAAAUUACCCAUAGAUGAAAAGUGUGAAUUUUGAUGUUUCAUGAUAGAAUAUGAAGCUUAGAAUUAUGUUAAGCAACUUUUGCUAAGCGAUUUUGAGUGAAAACGAGUAAAACGACAUAAUCGAUAAAAAUACUAAAUGUUCAUAAGUAAGUGUUAGAGUUGGAAUUUGAUGUUUCUAUAGAAGGGAAAAAUGUUCAACAUGUCAUAAUACAUAAGAAUAAGGGAUGAAGUUUAAUUUACGAGCUUUGGGGCAAAAGUGUAAAUAUGUAAAAGUUUAGGGGCAAAAUUAUAAUUUUACCAAAGUUUGAGUCAAGGACUGUUUUGAUAAAUGUGAGUACUAAAUAAGUCAAAUGUGUUAUUAUAGAUCAAGAAAGAAGUGGAAUCGACCUUGACCGGAGAAAAGGAAAGAUUAAAGACUAAAUUGCUAAAUUUUUAUAUUAUUGCAUCAAAGUAAGUUACGUGUAAAUAAUAGUUAUAUUUUUAUAAAUUGUGAAUUAUAUUUGAUAUGUGAAUUAAUAUUGAAUGUGGAAG
rnacentral:lncRNA from 1 species